rnacentral:rRNA from 1 species
AGAUUGAACGCUGGCGGCAGGCUUAACACAUGCAAGUCGAGCGGAAACGAUACCAGCUUGCUGGUAGGCGUCGAGCGGCGGACGGGUGAGUAACACUUAGGAAUCUACCUAGUAGUGGGGGAUAGCUCGGGGAAACUCGAAUUAAUACCGCAUACGUCCUACGGGAGAAAGGGGGCAACUUGUUGCUCUCGCUAUUAGAUGAGCCUAAGUCGGAUUAGCUAGUUGGUGGGGUAAAGGCCUACCAAGGCGACGAUCUGUAGCUGGUCUGAGAGGAUGAUCAGCCACACCGGGACUGAGACACGGCCCGGACUCCUACGGGAGGCAGCAGUGGGGAAUAUUGGACAAUGGGGGCAACCCUGAUCCAGCCAUGCCGCGUGUGUGAAGAAGGCCUUUUGGUUGUAAAGCACUUUAAGCAGUGAAGAAGACCUAACGGUUAAUACCCGUUAGCGAUGACAUUAGCUGCAGAAUAAGCACCGGCUAACUCUGUGCCAGCAGCCGCGGUAAUACAGAGGGUGCAAGCGUUAAUCGGAAUUACUGGGCGUAAAGCGAGCGUAGGUGGCUUGAUAAGUCAGAUGUGAAAUCCCCGGGCUUAACCUGGGAACUGCAUCUGAUACUGUUAGGCUAGAAUAGGUGAGAGGAAGGUAGAAUUCCAGGUGUAGCGGUGAAAUGCGUAGAGAUCUGGAGGAAUACCGAUGGCGAAGGCAGCCUUCUGGCAUCAUAUUGACACUGAGGUUCGAAAGCGUGGGUAGCAAACAGGAUUAGAUACCCUGGUAGUCCACGCCGUAAACGAUGUCUACUAGUCGUUGGGUCCCUUGAGGACUUAGUGACGCAGCUAACGCAAUAAGUAGACCGC